rnacentral:rRNA from 1 species
UACGAAGGGGGCUAGCGUUGCUCGGAAUCACUGGGCGUAAAGCGCACGUAGGCGGAUUGUUAAGUCGGGGGUGAAAUCCUGGAGCUCAACUCCAGAACUGCCUUCGAUACUGGCGACCUUGAGUCCGGGAGAGGUGAGUGGAACUCCGAGUGUAGAGGUGAAAUUCGUAGAUAUUCGGAGGAACACCAGUGGCGAAGGCGGCUCACUGGCCCGGUACUGACGCUGAGGUGCGAAAGCGUGGGGAGCAAACAGG